GGCUGCAGUGGGGAAUAUUGCACAAUGGGCGAAAGCCUGAUGCAGCGACGCCGCGUGAGGGAUGACGGCCUUCGGGUUGUAAACCUCUUUCAGCAGGGAAGAAGCUUUUGUGACGGUACCUGCAGAAGAAGCACCGGCUAACUACGUGCCAGCAGCCGCGGUAAUACGUAGGGUGCGAGCGUUGUCCGGAAUUAUUGGGCGUAAAGAGCUUGUAGGCGGUUUGUCGCGUCUGCUGUGAAAGCCCGGGGCUUAACUCCGGGUCUGCAGUGGGUACGGGCAGACUAGAGUGUGGUAGGGGAGACUGGAAUUCCUGGUGUAGCGGUGGAAUGCGCAGAUAUCAGGAGGAACACCGAUGGCGAAGGCAGGUCUCUGGGCCAUAACUGACGCUGAGAAGCGAAAGCAUGGG
rnacentral:rRNA from 1 species